rnacentral:lncRNA from 1 species
UCAGUGUUAUUCACUAGUGCCCCAUCCACUUUCACGUCACGGUUGAAACAAAGCCGUUACAUCAAAGACAUAUUUGAAGAAAUCCAGGAUUCUCAGAUUGCAACUUAUCUAGAAAUGAGCCAUGGUUCUUUCACCUGCAUUGGAUUUUCACAAUCUUUCCAUGCUGAAAUUGAGAGACUCUACAGGCUUCUCAAUAACGGUGUGACUGUUGCAGUCGUUUCUACUUGUGUAUUCAAUAGAUGAAGAAUCCAGUGAAUAGCCAGUGUCUGAUGAAGGGGACCCAAGCAAGAUUAUCCCAAAAGAAAUGGAGAUACAUAGACUCAAAACAACAGUGAAAAGGAAUUUCCCAGAUAUUUACACCCCUGAUUAUCUCUACGCCAUCAAAACGAAACGUUUAUCAGCAUACACUUAUAGCCUACUGGAGAACAAUGUUGUUGAUAUUUUACUACAACUGCAUCUGAAUUUGAAAGAAGUUCUCCACGAGGACGACCGUUCGACCGAAAAGUUAUCGUCGAAGAUUAUGCACAAAGGUAUGAACAUUUCUUUUUAAUCGAGUUGCAUCACCCCUGUUUUGUUUUUUUAAAAGAGUGGUAGUGCACACGUUACAUGCGAAACGAGAAUCUCUUCUCAUUGUAAGACGAUUCUGAUAAUUACGACAAUUCGUGCAAUCGUCGAAUCUUAUGAAAAAAAUAACCUAUGUUAAGGCUUUAUGUAAUUUCGAUUCAAAUCUUUACCAUAGAACCUUAUUGAUCACUUGACAUGUCUUACGUCUGAACUGUUAGGGCCUUUGCAUUUUAUCUACAAACCCCCUUUUAAAAAAGUGAUUUGGAGUCAAAAUUA